AAAUUGAAGAGUUUGAUCAUGGCUCAGAUUGAACGCUGGCGGCAGGCCUAACACAUGCAAGUCGAGCGGAAACGAGUUAACUGAACCUUCGGGGGACGAUAACGGCGUCGAGCGGCGGACGGGUGAGUAAUGCCUAGGAAAUUGCCCUGAUGUGGGGGAUAACCAUUGGAAACGAUGGCUAAUACCGCAUGAUGCCUACGGGCCAAAGAGGGGGACCUUCGGGCCUCUCGCGUCAGGAUAUGCCUAGGUGGGAUUAGCUAGUUGGUGAGGUAAGGGCUCACCAAGGCGACGAUCCCUAGCUGGUCUGAGAGGAUGAUCAGCCACACUGGAACUGAGACACGGUCCAGACUCCUACGGGAGGCAGCAGUGGGGAAUAUUGCACAAUGGGCGCAAGCCUGAUGCAGCCAUGCCGCGUGUGUGAAGAAGGCCUUCGGGUUGUAAAGCACUUUCAGUCGUGAGGAAGGUAGUGUAGUUAAUAGCUGCAUUAUUUGACGUUAGCGACAGAAGAAGCACCGGCUAACUCCGUGCCAGCAGCCGCGGUAAUACGGAGGGUGCGAGCGUUAAUCGGAAUUACUGGGCGUAAAGCGCAUGCAGGUGGUUUGUUAAGUCAGAUGUGAAAGCCCGGGGCUCAACCUCGGAAUUGCAUUUGAAACUGGCAGACUAGAGUACUGUAGAGGGGGGUAGAAUUUCAGGUGUAGCGGUGAAAUGCGUAGAGAUCUGAAGGAAUACCGGUGGCGAAGGCGGCCCCCUGGACAGAUACUGACACUCAGAUGCGAAAGCGUGGGGAGCAAACAGGAUUAGAUACCCUGGUAGUCCACGCCGUAAACGAUGUCUACUUGGAGGUUGUGGCCUUGAGCCGUGGCUUUCGGAGCUAACGCGUUAAGUAGACCGCCUGGGGAGUACGGUCGCAAGAUUAAAACUCAAAUGAAUUGACGGGGGCCCGCACAAGCGGUGGAGCAUGUGGUUUAAUUCGAUGCAACGCGAAGAACCUUACCUACUCUUGACAUCCAGAGAACUUUCCAGAGAUGGAUUGGUGCCUUCGGGAACUCUGAGACAGGUGCUGCAUGGCUGUCGUCAGCUCGUGUUGUGAAAUGUUGGGUUAAGUCCCGCAACGAGCGCAACCCUUAUCCUUGUUUGCCAGCGAGUAAUGUCGGGAACUCCAGGGAGACUGCCGGUGAUAAACCGGAGGAAGGUGGGGACGACGUCAAGUCAUCAUGGCCCUUACGAGUAGGGCUACACACGUGCUACAAUGGCGCAUACAGAGGGCGGCCAACUUGCGAAAGUGAGCGAAUCCCAAAAAGUGCGUCGUAGUCCGGAUUGGAGUCUGCAACUCGACUCCAUGAAGUCGGAAUGCUAGUAAUCGUGGAUCAGAAUGCCACGGUGAAUACGUUCCCGGGCCUUGUACACACCGCCCGUCACACCAUGGGAGUGGGCUGCAAAAGAAGUAGGUAGUUUAACCUUCGGGGGGACGCUUACCACUUUGUGGUUCAUGACUGGGGUGAAGUCGUAACAAGGUAGCGCUAGGGGAACCUGGCGCUGGAUCACCUCCUUAAACGAUGAU
rnacentral:rRNA from 1 species